rnacentral:lncRNA from 1 species
CUAACCGUAUCAUCUCGAAUGUGUGCAGAAUCGUUUCGAUAUACAUUUUUAUCUCCUUUAAACUUCCUUUCCGCGAAAAAAAAUUAGAUAUCAGCAAUUAUACACCGAGCCAUCUCUGUCUCGUCUCACGUUUUUCCACACACAACCAACCAUAUACAUAUAUAUAUAUAUAUAUAUAUUUCUUCUCUUUCGAAGCAACAACCGUGUCAAACAACCACGGUCCAUCCCCUCUCCUUUAUCCUCAAUUACAAUUGUAGCGUAAAUCGGGCUUUAGCUGCGUUUCAUCGGGGGCACAGCGGGGGGCAUCUCUCUUCCCUCCGCCGCGGCACGGUCGUAGGAAGGUUCCACGGCGACCGACGGCGGGUGUCGGUGGCACGGAGCGCUCGACGUCGACGUCGUACAAGGACAAGGCCACGUGGUCACGGGCGGCUGGGACGGACACGUAUACAGAUAUAUCGGCAACCAGUCAUGCACCGCCGCCACCACCACCACCAACGCGACUAUAAUCGGCGUCGUUUACCAUCUCUGACCCGUUUACCAUCCAGUGCGUCGAUUUUCGAAACCAAUCGAAAUCCUGUCCUGUUGGGAUACGCGCGGGGAAAUUAAUCUCAAUUUUGUCGAGAAAUUGGAUUUCUCCUUUGGAAUUGGAUUUGAACGAUUUCGAUCUAAUGGGAAACUAGCGUAUGAUUGUUAAAAAAGUCACUCGUUCGAAUCAUUUUCAACUAUUAUUAUUAUUAACUCGUGUAAUUUGAUCCAUCCAGUGAAUCUAGAUUUCAUUACACGGAUAAUCGUAAAUAUUGUGCGUUUAUUAGAAGACGAAGGAAUUGGAAUGAAAAAAAGAAAAAAAAAGUGACUCGUCUCUUAGCUAAUUGCAAUAUACUUUCAGAAUUUUGAACUUUGCUUUUAACGAUCUAUGAUUUUCACAGAAAUGGUUGGAGCAGCAAGUAUAAUAAAAAUACUUUCGACUUUGUUACCGAAUUAUCGUCUCACCUUGUCUGAUCUUUAUCGACCUGUUUCACUUACGGUUGAAUUGCGCGGCCAUCAUCGCGUCGCGCUUCGAAAUAUGUGUCACGUGUUGUCGUGGAGAAAAAAAAAAAAAAAAAAAAAAGAGAGAGAAGAAAAGGGCGGUAAAAAUAAAUGCGAACCACCGAUGGAACAAGAUUUUCAACAACGUAGAAUAAUAGUGUAUAUAGUGUGUAUACACAGAUAUAUAUAUAUGUAUACUAUACACGUUCCAUACGUAAUUCCAACGUACCGAGCUAUAAUAAAACAUCCAUAAAUAUAUAACCGCGACCAAGUAAUCGAUACUAUCCCACUGGCAACAUAUUGUGCCACGAUCUCGUACGUAUACCAUUUAAUUAUAUGCCAAACAAUAGGAAGCACCAAGCUCCGUCCAUCCCCGUUCCAUUUCGCGCUUUAAAACGCGUUUCAUCAUUCUCGAUCUUGUCAUUCCGAUUCUUUAAUAGCUUCAGAGAGCAAUCCUUUUAAGUAGGAAUUCACCGUUCUUUUCCCCUUUAAUCCCCUUAUUUUUCCAAAAUUUCUCCCUCCAUUUCUGAUGACAAAUAAUUCUCCACGAUAUAAUUCCUCCAGUUGAUAAUUUAUUCAAUUCUUCUGAUCUCGAUCGUUCAUUCACAUUCAAAUCUUCACAGAUCUCAUUCCAUCGGGUCAAAUUCAACUCGACUUCUCCAACGAACAAUCACAAAGUAUCGACGAACCGUAUCACCGCGUGUUAAAGUGUCUCGUCUCUCGCACCUAUUCCGCUCAAGGACACGGAGCGGAGAGAUCAUACCAUCGCGACCUUGGAGGGACGACGCACGUGUUCUCUCGUACGACGCCUCAUGCAGGCCUUGAAAUUUGUACGGAUCGACAAGUUUCGGUGUGCCCCACGGUCAUCUCAGAUAUGCACGUAGAGAGGAUAAUCUGAUAAUCUCUUGGGGGAGCGACCAACAAUGACAAUUGCAUCACUGUAUACGUGUAUAUAUAUAUAUAUCCUCGUGGAUCAGUGGAUUUUUGCUUAGGCGUAUUAAUUUUUUUUUUUUCUUUCUUUUGAGAAAUCCUGCGACUAAAUUUUUUUUUAGAUAAAUUUGAGCUCUCUUAAUUAAUUUCUAGGUUAAUUAUUAUAUCUCUUUUUCGAUUCUUCGUAUUUUCAGAAAUCUGUGAAAAAAUCUUUUGCUUAGAAAUUAGAUAAAUCUUUUUGAGGUUAUUAUUACAGAUUUACAACGUGAAUUUAAGAAAAGGGAAAUAAAGAAGGCUGUUGUAUUUCGGGAAAGAUCGCGGUUUAGAAAUAAAAACGUUGUUGAGGCUUUUUAUCAUUUUCGAUGAUUUAUUAUUGGCGAGAUCGUGGAGAUCGCGUGUCGUGGAAAGAUAAUGAUUAUCUUUCUCCCGGAUUUUAUGACAUCGUAACAUCGUACAACGACGAUUAUUAUCGAUUGUAUUGUUGAAUUUUAUAUUUUUGAAGAAUUUUUGGGAAAGUAUUCGUGUAUCGUAUACGUUUCUCUUUGUUUGAGCAAGAUAUAAUUACAUUAAGAUACGAUGAUAAUUUUAGAUAAACGUGCGAGGAAACGUGUUUUUGUUCAUAUUUUGUAUUAAUUGCGUGUUAAAGAAAGAAAAGAGAAGAAGGAGAAAAGAUCUUGGAAUCGAUAUCGAUUGUUGCAUUCUGAUUUUCUUUGAACGUUUAUUAAACAUUAACAUAUCGAUACUUACAUACUUCUCUUUGAUUCGAAUUCUAAUUAGUCGUAAGGUCUUUCUUUCUUCGUUGCAAUUGCACAAGGUGUCAAGACGUACGAUAUUAAUUUUAUACUGAAAAAA